GGUUCCAUGGUGUAGUGGUUUAGCACUCUGGACUUUGAAUCCAGUCACCUGGGUUCGAAUCCCGGUGGGACCU
rnacentral:tRNA from 1 species